rnacentral:rRNA from 1 species
AGUAACGGCGAGUGAAGCGGCAAUAGCUCAAAUUUGAAAGCUGGCCCCUUCGGGGUCCGCGUUGUAAUUUGUAGAGGAUGAUUCGGCGAGGGCUCCCGUCUAAGUCCCUUGGAACAGGGCGUCAUAGAGGGUGAGAAUCCCGUAUGUGAUGGGCUGCCUUAGCCAUGUGAAUCUCCUUCGACGAGUCGAGUUGUUUGGGAAUGCAGCUCUAAAUGGGAGGUAAAUUUCUUCUAAAGCUAAAUACCGGCCAGAGACCGAUAGCGCACAAGUAGAGUGAUCGAAAGAUGAAAAGCACUUUGGAAAGAGAGUUAAAAAGUACGUGAAAUUGUUGAAAGGGAAGCGCUUGCAGCCAGACUUGUCCGCAGUUGCUCAGCUUGUCUCCUGACAGGCGUACUCUUCUGCGGCCAGGCCAGCAUCAGUUCGGGCGGUCGGAUAAAGGCCCGGGGAAUGUAGCUCCUCUCGGGGAGUGUUAUAGCCCCGGGUGCAAUGCGGCCAGCCUGGACUGAGGAUCUCGCUUCGGCUAGGAUGCUGGCGUAAUGGCUGUAAGCGGCCCGUCUUGAAACACGGACCAAGGAGUCUAACAUCUAUGCGAGUGUUUGGGUGUCAAACCCAUGCGCGUAAUGAAAGUGAACGGAGGUGGGAACCCUCACGGGUGCACCAUCGACCGAUCCUGAUGUCUUCGGAUGGAUUUGAGUAAGAGCAUAGCUGUUGGGACCCGAAAGAUGGUGAACUAUGCCUGAAUAGGGUGAAGCCAGAGGAAACUCUGGUGGAGGCUCGCAGCGGUUCUGACGUGCAAAUCGAUCGUCAAAUUUGGGUAUAGGGGCGAAAGACUAAUCGAACCAUCUAGUAGCUGGUUCCUGCCGAAGUCCCCCUCUCCGGAGAUAUA